rnacentral:tRNA from 1 species
UUUAUGCCUUGGGCUACACACGUGCUACAAUGGCCGGUACAACGAGCCGCUAACCCGCGAGGGGGAGCAAAUCUU